ensembl:ncRNA C54G10.5 ncRNA
UUUCUUUUUUUCGUCGACGGAUUGUGGCGAUUUGUCGGCGACACAAGGAAAGAAGGCAAGCGCAUCAUUCAACGUCGUCAGUUUGUCCAAUUCUUCUCACUUUGUGUUGUAGGGGUAUAAUCUGAGGAGGUAUGGGUUCACGACU